AUUGAACGCUGGCGGCAGGCCUAACACAUGCAAGUCGAACGCGUGGCGGACGGGUGAGUAAUGUCUGUGGAACUGCCCGAUGGAGGGGGGUAACUACUGGAGACGGUAUCUAAUACCGCAUAUCAUCGGAUUUGCCCAGAUGGGAUUAGCUCGUAGGUGGGGUAACGGCUCACCUAGGCGACGAUCCCUAGCUGGUCUGAGAGGAUGACCAGCCACACUGGAACUGAGACACGGUCCAGACUCCUACGGGAGGCAGCAGGGGGGAAUAUUGCACAAGGGGCGCAAGCCUGAUGCAGCCAUGCCGCGUGUAUGAAGAAGGCCUUCGGGUUGUAAAGUACUUUCAGCGAGGAGGCGUUACUCGCAGAAGAAGCACCGGCUAACUCCGUGCCAGCAGCCGCGGUAAUAC
rnacentral:rRNA from 1 species